UCUUACUCUCAGUGUUUGGCACAUUAACAGAAGCCCAAUAACUGUUAGCCCUUCUCCCCCUAACUUCAGGGUUUUUCCCCUUGAUCGGAGGAGGUUCAUGAAGGGAAUGAUGCUUAAGUUCAUAUGCCUCUUCCUUGGGCUGUGUAUUGCUAACCAGUUUCUAGGGGCUUCUGAUUUCCCAUUAUGUUAUACAUUAGCCAGGCCUCUUCUUCCUACUUCCAGUCAAAGAUUGACAAUAAGUCAUUUGCAAGAAUUAAAUGCAAGAUUGAAUUUUAACGACUCAGAAAUUUGAGGUCAACUUUGCUUUGAAGGACCUUUAGAGGAGGGAAGCCUGGUGAGUGAGGUGGUACCUGACCUUCCAUCUGGUGCUAUACUUGCAGGUCACAAUCUUGCCAAGAUAGUAAUUAUUAUUCUCAUCACACAGUUAAAGACAAGAAAGUUUGGGGAAGUCAAGUGACUGGUCCAAGGUCACACUACUCAACUCCAAGGCCCCAGAGGUGCCUCCAAGCCCAACAGGUGAUAUUUCGGGACUUCAGGAAGGUAAAAUCUCCUCUCUCAGGCAGAAAGAAAUGAAGUCUCUUAAGUUGUGAACCAACAUCUCAAAAUCUCUGACCAGUCAGCCCCGGCUGAGUAUUGGCAGAUAGAGCCAGGGCCAUGUGGUAAUCAGAAAACUAGUCAGGUGGGACUGGAACAGUGCCUCUGAGGUAUUUCACAAACAUGGGGAACAAACACAUUCGGUGUUGCAAUCCUGGCCACCAGGAGCUGCCGCGUUGGCUGUUUUUUGAGAACGGACCGUGGAUAAGGAGUUUGAGGUCUGAGCAUGGGAGGCCCAAGUGGUCAGCCAUUUAGAGAUGGUGUCAGCCCUCAAGAGACACACUGCCACGGAUUCCCUGCUGCAGAUGGUCUCCGCCACGGGUUCUCACCACCGCAUAGUGUCAUUGUUGAAGGCCCUGCCUACACAACUUCUUGGAUACAGGCGGAUGCCAAAACCAGGUCCUGACCCGCGGCCAGAGGCCCUGUGCUGAGCUCCGAAAGUAUGAUCCUGCUUGUUUGUUUUCUCAUUGUCCGUUAUUUCCCAGGGCAGAAGACAACAGGCACACCGAAUCAGG